rnacentral:rRNA from 1 species
UACGGAGGGGGCUAGCGUUGUUCGGAAUUACUGGGCGUAAAGCGUGCGCAGGCGGUUGUGCAAGACCGAUGUGAAAUCCCCGGGCUUAACCUGGGAACUGCAUUGGUGACUGCACGGCUAGAGUGUGUCAGAGGGGGGUAGAAUUCCACGUGUAGCAGUGAAAUGCGUAGAGAUGUGGAGGAAUACCGAUGGCGAAGGCAGCCCCCUGGGAUAACACUGACGCUCAUGCACGAAAGCGUGGGGAGCAAACAGG